GAUGAACGCUGGCGGCGUACUUAACACAUGCAAGUCGAACGAAGCAAUUUAGCGGAAGUUUUCGGAUGGAAGCUGGAUUGACUGAGUGGCGGACGGGUGAGUAACGCGUGGGUAACCUGCCUCACACUGGGGGACAACAGUUAGAAAUGACUGCUAAUACGGCAUAAGCGCACAGGACCGCAUGGUCCGGCGUGAAAAACUCCGGUGGUGUGAGAUGGACCCGCGUUUGAUUAGCAAGUUGGUGGGGUAACGGCCAACCAAGGCGACGAUCAAUAGCCGACCUGAGAGGGUGACCGGCCACAUUGGGACUGAGACACGGCCCAAACUCCUACGGGAGGCAGCAGUGGGGAAUAUUGCACAAUGGGGGAAACCCUGAUGCAGCGACGCCGCGUGAGUGAAGAAGUAUUUCGGUAUGUAAAGCUCUAUCAGCAGGGAAGAAAAUGACGGUACCUGACUAAGAAGCACCGGCUAAAUACGUGCCAGCCGCCGCUGUAA
rnacentral:rRNA from 1 species